ACGCUGGCGGCAUGCCUAACACAUGCAAGUCUAGGGAUAGCAAUACCACUGGCGCACGGGUGAGUAACACGUAGGUUAUCUGCCCCCAUCACAGACAUAACCCCGGGAAACCGGGGCUAAUAUCUGAUGAGGUCGCGAGAUCAAAGCUUCGGCGGAUGGGGAUGAGCCUGCGGCUGAUUAGCUAGUUGGUGAGGUAAUGGCUCACCAAGGCGACGAUCAGUAGCUGGUCUGAGAGGACGAACAGCCACACUGGGACUGAGACACGGUCCAGACUCCUACGGGAGGCAGCAGUGAGGAAUAUUGGUCAAUGGGAGCAAUCCUGAACCAGCAAUGCCGCGUGUGGGAUGACAGGGCUUCGCCUUGUAAACCACUGUCGGACGGGACGAAAGGAGGCCUCGGGCCUCUGGGACGGUACCGUCAAAGGAAGGGUCGGCUAACUACGUG
rnacentral:rRNA from 1 species